UCAGGUGGAGGGUUAUGAGCACCAAAGAAAGGAUUGAAAAAUUCACAUUGAAUGUGAGAAACGACCAGGGCUGUUACGGGACAUCAUGAAACUACUGGAGUCAAGGGGCUUGAAUGUGGAAAAAGCCAGUGUAGCGUUUGACGAGCAUUUUGUCUUGGAUUGCGUUGGAUCAGAGAUCGAUGGACGCGAUAAUACCAAAAAUAGCCCCAAGUCAUGUUUGAGUGCUGUGGCUGUGGGAGCAAGUUUGGUAUCCCUUAUCGCAAAGCAAAGGGAUGCUGCCUCACCGUAGGAGGCGCUUUGCAGACCCUCCAAGAAAUCAGAUAUUUAUUCAACUUUGCGUGCAUUCGUUUUGCUCAAGAGCCGUUUCGCUCCUCUAUUGCUAAGUCACACAUUUUGAUGUUCCGAUCAGUGAAUCAGAGGGUCAGUCAACGCAUUAUGAACCCAGUGAAUUAUCCAGUUGGACUUGAGGCGCAUGCAGAAAGAGUCGUAAGGAAAUUCAGGUUCAUCGCUUUUCAGAAGCCCUCAGUGGUGGGAUGGUCCCUUGGACAAAACGGUGACCUUGGUUUGCACUAGUCUUGGCCUUUGCCUCGAAUUAGAGCGUCACUAUUGCCGAAGCCAGUCGACCACAGCGGAAAACUCGAGGCCAUGGCAGGCCAUAUGAGCGACACGAAGCUGCUUUGGAUAGAAGUUCGCUGAGGGGAUGAAAAGGAUUCGGAACACAAGGUUUGGCAAGUGAAUUUAGAAUGAUGGCUUGGAAACACAACAACCAACAUCAAACUCGAUGUUGCCACGAAAUCUUCCACGGUGUUCGUUGUUUCACAUUACAAGUAAUGCAAAAACUGCCGCAAUUCUUUUUGUACAUUACCUUCCUUCCCUUAAUUAAGGCAGCAAUAUAUUCUCUGAAA